UGACCAUCGAGCUUCUGGUAAUAUUCGUGUGGCACGCCUGAAGAAUGUAUAAAAAGAAUUAAAAACUGCUGGCAACCCUGGUCUGCAUGUGCUGGGAAGAGAAGGUGUAUUAGUGAAUCAGCUAUGUCCAGUGUAGGCCUGACAGCUGCAGCUACCAAGGAGGAAGUCUGCUGAUUGCUAAGUCCAGGAGAAUUGAAGACUUUGAACAGUGUUCUGUGUGGCCUUGAGAAGAGGGGGUGUCGCUUUCCCCUGAUGUGCUGCAGGUAUUGAAGUCGCUGCCAGAAGAGAGAGAGAUAGGAAGGGAACCUCUCGAGCCCCUGAGGUGAAGCUCCGUGGUGUCAGCCUGCCUGCCACUGGUAUCACUCAGUCAUCUUGAGAAGAAGAAGAAAUUGAGGUGGAGUUGAGAUGCCCCAUCCAAUGCUUUCUUCACAACGAGGGCAGCACAAUGGCUCAGUGGUUAGCAUUGCUGCGUCGCAGUGCCAGGGAUCCAGGUUUGAUUCCAGCCUUGGGUGACUGUAGAGUUUGCAUGUUCUCUCUGUUUCUGUGCGGAGU